rnacentral:lncRNA from 1 species
UCUAAAUCCAUAACGUUUAUAAAAAAUUGGUUUUUGUAACUAAUUUAAAAAAUCGACUUCUAAAUUCAUAACCUUCCGUUUUUGUUUCAAAUUAGUCCGGUGACCCAUUUUUUCUUACGCCGGCGCCGGAAGUGACACGGUGGCAGCCGAAAUUGACAGUGUCACGGUAACACAUUUAAGACAUGUGGAAAAAAAAUAAUAAAAAAACAUCCACAUCAUCAUCUUCCCCAAUCUCCCCCACUCCCAAACUCUAACUUCCCCUCCCCCGACCCGCCCGCGCCACUUGCCGCCAUCACACGUCGGUGUCGGCCGCCUCCUCUCCCUCCCCAUACCCGUUGGCCCUCCUCCUCCCCAGACCCCAUCUGCCCCCUCCCCCAUCCCCAGAUCCCAUCUGCCCUUCCCCGGUCAGGCUUUCAACGGAGAAAUCGCCAGAUUUCGGAUUCACAACAGAGCUCGUCUGCUUGCGAAUGGAGCUCGCCUGCUAUGCUACUCCGCCGAACCACCGCUGCUGCCGCCAUCGUAUUCCACCGCACCAUCAUCAAAAUCUCAUCCUUCGCCAAAAUACCAUGGAAAUACAAGUCCAAAGCCAUCCAAGAAUAGUAGCUGGCAGCGUUUCUAGAAUACCUUCACACAAAUCAAGAGAGAGAAGAACGGACAAGAGGGGCGGCGCCCUCGUCCGGGCACGUCCGCGCCAGAAGUCGAAGGCUGUUGCGGCAAAUUGGAAAAGAAGGAAACUUUUAGGGCUCGUUUUGGUGUGGAGGUUCCGUGGAAGACAGAGAUAGCAGAGAUGAUCUUCGGCGCGAGGCAGCGACCCACGUCGGAGGAGGCGCCGCCAAUGGUGAAAGCAGGGGGCGGUGGCGGCGUGUGGUGGCGGCG